GCGGGAAGAUCCACCUUUAAUCUGGGCCACACCUUCUGCUGGCAGCCUAUAUGAAGGACAGGAAAGGACGCUUGCUCCCGCUGGUGUUAGAGCCUACUUCUGGAUUCUGGCACAGACUGGAGACCAGCUGAGGCAUCCAGCCUUGUGGACUCAACAACUACUGGAUUUAUGGGCCUUCUGUUGAGGGUUCUGCAAGAUAGGCCACAGAGUUAACAGUGGAGUUAAGAGGAGCUAAGUGCUGGUCCAGGACCAUGCGCGACACUAUCCACUUUUGUCUCCCUGGCUGAAGACAACCGCCUUGGUUCUCUUUUGUGGAGUGUAGCACACUGACUUUUUCCUUCAAAGUCUUGAUUUUGCUGGUGAAGGCACUUGAUGGUCUGAUCACUUUCUCCAUGCUGUUUUAGGCUAAGGGUUUCUGGAGCUGAUUACAGGAGAUUUGUGAAUCCAAAAUGAGUUCCAGACAUUGUCAUAGAUGGAAGGACUUUAUGACGUUGGUUCCAUUAUUAUCUCCCGUUUUAUAGCCAGGGGUCAGAAGUACAGCGCUUCUUUCCUCACAAACUGUUAGAGGGUAAGUCUCCAGUUUGGUUUUAUGGGAUGUGAGAAAGUAGGAUCACUCCCUGAAAAUCUGGGCCCCUUCUCUGCGUUUGGGAAGAGGGGGUUGAAAUUCCCAUACUUCGCAUUCAGCUGACCCCGACCCCCUCUGAAUGCACCCUGCAUAGAAAAGUGGUGGCUUCCUUGGCAUUGGAAUCGGGAAACUGACUUUCCAUCCCAGAGGCCAUAGCUCCAUCCAGUUUA